rnacentral:lncRNA from 1 species
CCCUCUCUCCUAGCUCUGGGUUGUUACUGCGAGUCCUUGGCAUUCUUUGGCUUACAGCUGCAUAACCUACGUCUCUGACACUGUCACCACGUGGCCAUCUGCCCAUGCAUCUGUCUUCAUAGGACAGCAUUUCUAUGUGUUUUUCUGUCUCUUUUCCUUUUUUUUUUUGAGACAGAGUCUCGCUCUGUCGCCAGGCGCCAGGCUGGAGUGCAGUGGUGCGUUCUCAGCUCACUGCAACCUCCACCUCUUGGGUUCAAGCAAUUCUCCUGCCUCAGCCUCCCAAGUAGCUGAGACUACAGGUGCCCGCCACCACGCCCAGCUAAUUUUUUUUGUAUUUUUAGUAGAGACGGGGUUUCACCAUGUUGGCCAGAUGGUCUCAAUCUCUGGAUCCCGUGAUACACCCACCUCGGCCUCCCAAAGUGCUGGGAUUACAGGUGUGAGCCACUGCACCCGGCCUCUUUUCCUCUUCUUAAUAGGACACCAGUCGGAUUGGAUUCAGGGCCCACCUAUUCCUCAUCUGACUUCAUCUUAGCUUGAUUACAUCUGCAAAAACUCAGUUUCCAAGAAGGUCACAAACUUGUUCUGCUAGCUGCAGCACAGCAGGGAGAAAUGAAAACCUAUGAUCACCUGCAUGCAAAUGUUUAUAGCAGGUGUAUUUGUAAUCACCCAAACCUGGAGACAACACAAAUACCCUCCAACAGAAAGUCCAGUGCCCUUCUAUGAGCAUUCUGCAAGUUCCUGGGGGUGCUUCCAGGGUCAACCUCCAGUAAGUCCUGACCUCAUUUGUGUGUCACCGGCAAUGGCUUUUCUUUUCUCCCUGCUCCAUUCUGGCAUGAAACCCCGCCUCUUUUUCUUUAUUUCCCCUAAUUUACCCACACAAAACAUCAAUGUCAAGAGCACACUUUGCUAAAGGUUUGG